rnacentral:misc_RNA from 1 species
CCGUACGAUACACACCGUUUAAGUUUUAUUCAUGUCUCCCAAGUGUUGUUACUUUCAAAGAAAUUUUCUGACAAGUUUAACCAGUGUAAAUGGAUUAACUAAUUAUUAGUGAAUUUUGUUUAAAACAAUACUCCAUGGAUUAAUUGUAAAAAUACACGUGACAGGUCCUUUAGUGACCUUGAUAAAGCGGAAGCUGAGAAUGAAUGUGGAGGCAACAAUCCUGUUCAGCCAAUCGAGAGUCUUGAAUAAAAGACGCAUGGAGCGAGGAUAAAGGAAGAAAAUGAUCUGUAUAUUGAAGAUGAUCACAGUGUGACAUGGCGAGGACAAUAUGGAUACUUUUCUGCUUUCUAGCAGUAUUAUGGCACGUGACUGAGGGUUAUUUGGCUGUAUUGUCCUCAAACUUACCACCCGGCACUCUAGUAUUUGAGGCAGGUGUUCCAAGACUUGGAGGCAAAAGAAAGUACCAGGUUUCAACUGAUCGUACAGCACGAUUUGCUCGCAAGUUACUUAAAGUUAAUCCACACAAUGGUAGAGUGAUUUUAGCAAAAAGUUUAAAUUGCGAAGGAUUGCAAUAUCCACGUCUUUUUACCUUUUAUGUUGACUCAACAAGUUCGCGACUUGGUAGACCGAAUAUUGAUUACUAUAGUCUACCGUUGAGAGUUUUAAUCACAGGUUGUGGUGGUGAAAAUGAGGAUCUUGCAGCAACAAGAGGCUGGACGGCUGAGACCUUGGCAUCUUAUGCGAUGCCAAGUACCGACAAGUUUACAGAGAUAUGUCUACGUGCUUCACAAUUAGUUGCUGCUCUUCGAGAUUUCCUGCCUCAUACAGUAUUAAAAGAAUGCGACACACGGUGGGGAGGUGUGGCAGAUUCUAGGUUUCUAAUUGAAGGAGCAGCAGGAGAUCUUGUAUCAUCGUCUGAGCAAUGUCUUAUAGAUCCUAUAUGGAAGAUUUCAGUGUCCAUGACAUUGAGAUGUAGCACGACACAUUUGGUGGAUGCUGAACAUAGAUUGAAAAUUGUUUUUCAUCAUCAACAGUUGGAUGAUACUGAUCUUGGCCGUAGAGUAAGAAGAGAAUUAAGAAAUCGAUCGCCUUUUUUUGAAGAAGAAUUAUAUACGGCUGAUGUUGAAGAAGAAAAAGAACCUGGUGAACUGGUUAAAGUUGUUAAAGCAAGAGAUCCAGAAGGUGGCACUGUUCACUACUCUAUGAUGUCUCUUGUCGAUACUCGAUCUGGUGCACUUUUUUUAUUGGAUCCAGUCACUGGAAAAGUUACAACUAAAACAAAAUUAGAUCGCGAAAGUGGGGAUAUACAUUAUUAUAGAAUUUUAGCCGUUGAUGAUUCUUUUCCACCACGAACUGGUACGACAACUCUUCAAGUGAAUGUUCUGGAUGUUAAUGACCAUGCACCGAGCUUUGAGAGGCCGGAAGGAGAAGCAGAGAUACGGGAGAGUGUUCCAGUAGGAUCAACUGUAAUAGCUGUUAAGGCAACAGAUAGAGAUGUUGGAAGAAAUGCUGAAGUUGAGUAUGCUAUUGUUUCAACAACUGGUGGAGGUACGACUUCAGUUACAGAAGAUUCAGCGACAUUUAAAAUUGAUCCUAAAUCAGGUGUUGUUACAACAAGGACUCAACUUGAUAGAGAAAAAACUGAGGUAUAUACUGUCAUAAUAAGUGCUAAUGAUUUAGCAAGUUCACCAGCUUUAAGGAAAACAACAACUACCACUUUGAUCGUUAGAGUUCUUGAUGAUAAUGAUAACUAUCCGCAAUUCUCAGAGCGUUCUUAUUCAACAACAGUCCCGGAAAAUAUGGAUUACACGACAAAUCCCGUGAUAGCUCAGAUAAAAGCUACUGAUGCUGAUACUGGAGUUAAUGCUGCAGUAAGAUAUGUAAUUAUUGGUGGUAAUGCUCACAAUACAUUUUCUAUUGACUCUCUGAAUGGUGAUGUAACUCUUGUAAAACCUCUCGACUAUGAAACCACUGAUCUUUAUCGAAUAGUUGUAAGAGCUCAGGAUGGAGGUGCACCAGCAAGGGCAAAUACUACUCAAUUGCUUGUUCACGUGGAAGAUAUUAAUGAUAAUUCACCGCGAUUCUUUACUAGUCUUUUGCAAGAAACUGUUUCCGAAGGAGUACCAAUCGGUCAUGCUAUAGUACGAGUACAAGCUUAUGAUGGUGAUAAGGGAAUGAAUGCAUUAAUAAAAUAUUCAAUAGGUGCUAGAGAUUUUUCUGGAGCAUCUACUGAAAAUUUUCCUAUUACUGUAAAUGUUGAUAGCGGUUGGAUACACACAACGAAACAAUUGGAUCGUGAACAAUGCUCCAAGUAUCAAUUCACAGUAAUUGCUACGGAUUCUGGUGAACCUCCAAGAUCAGGAAGUGCAACUGUUGUUCUUACAGUAACUGAUGUUAAUGAUAAUGAUCCCAAGUUUGAUUUUAAAGAUUAUGAAGCUGUUGUUUCUGAGGAUGAUCCACCUGGUACUUCAGUUGUCUUAGUUACUGCCACUGAUCCUGAUGAAAAUGCUAGAAUUCAUUAUGAUAUUACAGCUGGAAAUACUAGAGGAAGAUUUUCUAUAACUUCACAAAAUGGUGGAGGAUUAAUUACUAUUGCUCAACCAUUAGAUUAUAAACAAGAAAAAAGAUUUGUAUUAACUGUUACUGCUUCAGAUUCCGGCGGAAGAAUAGAUACAGCAUUAGUUUAUAUAAAUAUUUCAGAUGCUAAUAAUUAUGCUCCAAUAUUUGAGAAUGCUCCGUAUUCGGUAUCUGUUUUUGAAGAUGCUCCUGUUGGCACAACAGUUUUAAUUGUAAGUGCAACUGAUUCUGAUGUUGGUCAAAAUGCUCAAGUAACUUACAGUCUUGGAACAGGAGUCGAUGGAUUGGAGAAUUCUGAAUUUACAAUUAAUAAACAGACUGGUGCAAUAACAACAACAAAACCAUUAGAUAGGGAAAAGACUUCAGGAUACUUACUGACAGUGACAGCGAAAGAUGGAGGAGUGCCACCGUUAUCAGAUACAACUGACGUUGAAAUUUCCGUCACCGAUGUGAAUGAUAAUGCACCAGCAUUCAAAGCUACACAGUACACCGGUACAGUUCCGGAAGAUGUGUCAGUUGGAAUUUCAGUUCUCCAAGUAUCAGCAACUGAUGCAGACAUGAAUUUAAAUGGAAAAGUAAGAUAUACUUUAGAUGAUAAUGGAGAUGGUGCCUUUGCUAUUGAUUCUCUUACAGGAACUUUAAGGACUGCGAAACAAUUAGACAGAGAGUCUGUGGCAAGAUAUACCUUGAAAGCAAUGGCUAUUGAUCAUGGAAAUCCACCACUUUCUUCUGCUGUUUCAAUAAUAAUCAAGAUUGAGGAUGUCAAUGAUUCUCCACCAUCAUUUAAAAGUGAUAAAAUAGUACUUUAUAUUCCAGAAAAUUCACCAAUUGGUUCGUCUGUUGGAGAAAUUUAUGCUCAUGAUCCUGAUGAAGGCCCUAAUGCUAUUGUACAGUAUUCAAUAGUUGGAGGUGAAGAUGCCAAUAGUUUUCAAUUAAACACUCGUUCUGGAGAGAAUAAAGCUGUAUUAGUAACUCUAGAAGAAUUCGACUAUGAAUCUCCAAAGAAAAAGUUUGAAAUUUUUGUUCGAGCAACUUCACCACCAUUAAGAUCUGAUGUUCUUGUACAAAUAAUGGUAACAGAUGUAAAUGAUAAUGCACCUGUUCUUAAAGACUUUCAGAUAAUAUUUAAUAAUUUUAAAGACUUUUUUCCUACUUCUGCAAUCGGUAAAAUUCCAGCAGUAGAUGCUGAUGUGACUGACAAACUUGUCUACAGUAUUUUAAGUGGUAACAGCGCAAAUCUUAUCACUUUAAAUACAACAAGUGGAGAAAUAAGCUUAUCACCGCAAUUAAAUACAAAUGUACCUCGAGUUGCCACGAUGGAAGUGUCUGUUACAGACGGCAUUAAUGAAGCAAAAGCAACCAUGACACUUUCGAUCAGAUUAAUUACUGAUAAAAUGUUAUAUAAUUCUAUCACUGUAAGAAUUGAUGACAUGACAGUUGAAGCAUUUCUUAGUCCACUUAUAAAUUAUUUUGUGGAUGGCUUGGCAGCAAUAAUUCCAUGCCCUCGAGAGAAUAUUUUUAUUUUUAGUGUUCAAGAAGAUACUGAUGUGCAUGGAAAAAUUUUAAAUGUAAGUUUUUCUGCUAAAAAAGUUGAACCAGGAAAUAAUGAGGAAUUUUAUUCUUCUCAAUACCUUCAAGAACGUGUAUAUUUAAACCGUGGAAUUUUAGCAAGACUUUCAACUCUUGUAGUCCUUCCUUUUGAUGAUAAUUUAUGUGUACGAGAGCCUUGUUUAAAUUUUGAAGAAUGUGUGACCAUUUUAAAGUUUGGCAAUGCAUCAGGAUUUGCAAGCAGCAACACAAUUCUUUUCAGACCUAUUUAUCCGGUUACAACAUUUUCUUGUGAAUGUCCACGAGGUUUUACUGGCAGUAGAGAAGCUUAUCUCUGUGAUAUGGAAGUCAAUCUUUGUUAUUCUAAUCCAUGCAAAAAUGGUGGUACUUGUAAACGAAAAGAAAGUGGUUAUACCUGUAUUUGCAAUCCAAAUUUUACAGGAAAUAAUUGUGAAGUAUCUGUAGAUAAAGGAGUAUGUAAUCCAGAUAUUUGUAGAGGAGGAUCAAAAUGUCUUGCAAAAGGUGGUGAUGAUGGUGGUGGUUUUACGUGUGAAGCUUGUGCAAUAGAUCCAUUAGAAAAUGUAACACCUUUUUGUGAAUUAAGAUCUCGUAGUUUUGGACCAGCUUCAUUUUUAACAUUUGGUUCUCUUAAACAACGACAUCGAUUACAUUUAAAAUUAAAAUUUGCAACAGAAGAAUCUGAAGGAUUGCUACUAUACAAUGGAAGAUAUAAUGAAAAACAUGAUUUCAUAGCAUUAGAAAUAGUUAACUCAGAAGUCCAAUUUAGUUUUUCAUUGGGUGAUGAAAUUACGAGAGCUUCAGCAACAAUUCCGGGUGGUGUUUCCGAUGGCCAAUGGCAUGAAGUUGAAGUUGUUUACAUCAAUCGUACUGUUACAAUAGCACUUGACGGUUGUGACGUUGCAUUAGCGUUAAAAUACGGCGACAGGCUUGGUAAAAAAUGGUCAUGUGCUGGAACUGCUGAGCAAAUACUUGAAUCACGAUGCGGUUUAGUUACAGAAACCUGUCAUAGGUUUUUAGAUCUCACGGGACCAAUGCAACUUGGCGGGUUGCCGGCAAUUCCAUCAGACUUUCAAGUAACUAAUAAAGACUUUGUCGGAUGUAUAAGUGAUCUAUAUAUUGACUAUAAAUUCAUUGAUCUCAACUCUUUUGUUGCUGAUAAUGGAACGAGUGUUGGUUGUCCGGAAAAACGUUCUUUCUGUGCUUCAAUGCCUUGCCAUAAUAACGGAAAAUGCAGAGAAAUUUGGUCUGGUUAUUUUUGUGAAUGUGAAGAAGGUUUUGCUGGACCACAGUGUAGUGAAAAAGUAGGAAAACCUUGGAGAUUCCGUGGAAAUGGUCUGGUUAGUUUUAAUCCACUUUUAAGGCCAAUUCAAUUACCUUGGAUGACUGCAUUAAGUUUACGUACUCGUGCUACUAAUGUCUUUAUUAUGAAUAUUCAAAUUGGACAGAACAGCUCGGCAUUAUUUGUAUUAAAAGAAGGAAGAUUGGAGACUUUUAUUGAUGGUGUAGAAAUGAUAAAAACGCUUAUGCCAAUUAAUGAUGGAGAAUGGCAUCGAAUUGAAAUUAUUUGGCAAAGUGGAGAUGUUUCCUUGGAUAUGGAUUAUCGUAAUCGUCCUUUGAUUUCACCGUUACCAGCUAAACUCCAAGGACUCUAUGUUGGUAAAAUUCUUCUUGGUGGUUCAGAUCAAUCAUUAAAUUCGGAAUUUUUACCAUUCUUCGAAGGUUGUAUUCACGACUUACGAAUUGGUACCAAUCAAAGUGUUCUUCAACGAUCAACUGUUCAAGAAAAUGUUGAAAUUGGCUGUGAAGCAGAUGAUGAAUGUAAUAUUCCAUGUCCUGAAGAAUCAACUUGCAUUUCAAAAUGGCAAGCACGUGAUUGUGUAUGUAAGGCUGGUAGAGUUGGACAAAAUUGUGAAGCUAUAUGUGAUGUGAAUCCUUGUCAUAGUGACUCAGGAGUUUGCAUUGAAGAUUUAUCAUCUAAACGGGGAUAUAAAUGUCAGUGUAAUAGUGAAGAAUACUCUGGUGAAUAUUGUGAAGUUCAAGUUGAUCAACCUUGUCCAGCAACAUGGUGGGGAUCUCCAGUUUGUGGUCCAUGUAAUUGUGAUGAAUCAAAAGGUUACGAUCCAUCAUGUAAUAAAACAACUGGAGAAUGUAACUGUAAAAAAAAUCAUUAUCAACCUCCUGGUAAAGAUGAAUGUAUUCCAUGUGAUUGUUAUACAAUAGGAAGCUUUGGUCCUCGUUGUCAUACAGAAACAGGUCAAUGUCGUUGUAGAAACGGAGUUAUAGGAAGAGCAUGUACUGAUUGUCCUAAUCCCUAUGCUGAAGUAACUGAAGAAGGAUGUAAAGUGGUAUAUGAUGGCUGUCCUCGAUCAUUUGCUAAAGGAUUAUGGUGGCCAAGGACUAAAUUUGGAAUGACUGCUAUUGAAGACUGUCCAGGAACUGCUGAAGGAAAAACGUCAAGAUCAUGUGAUGAUAAAUUAGGUGGAUGGCAAUCUCCAGAUCUUUUUAAUUGUACAUCACAAGGUUUUCUUGAGCAUAGAUAUCAUCUAGGAGCUCUUGAAAAGGGCGAUUUAACAUUAAAUCGUGAUAUGGCAGUGAAAAUUGCUAAAGACCUUCAUUCUGCUGUAGCAAUAGGAAAAAAUAUGUACGGAGCUGAUGUCCUUAUCACUGAAUCACUUCUAUUAGCUCUUUUGAAAUAUGAAGAAAGUCUUGCUGAUUUACAUUUAACUCACAAUCAAGAUAAAGAUUACGUUCCUCAUCUAGUAGGUAUAGCUGGAGCAAUUUUAAGUAAAGACCACAUAGAAAAAUGGCAAAGAAUUUUAGAUCUAACUGAUCAUGGACCUGAUAAAAUUUUAGAUGCAAUGGCGAGAUAUUUAAAAAUAUUAACAGGUUCUCAACAUAAUACUUUUACGGAUCCUUUUGAAGUUGUUAAUUCAAAUGUUGUUAUGGGACUUGAUACAGUCACUUCUGAAAGUUUAUUUGGGUAUGAAACGUUAGAAUAUAAAGAAGAUCCUUCAGCAUCCACAGCAAGACCACCAGAUGCAGAUAAAAGGGUUAUCUUGCCUGACACAUCAGCAUUCUUAUCGCCUGCUACUCACUUAGAGCCAUAUAUCAGCUUUCCGAAAUAUAAUAAUUACAUGGCUGAUCCUCGAAGAUUUGAUCCUUACUCCAAGAUUAGAGUUCCAUUGAGUUUAUUAGGAAUUCAGCCAAUGACUCCAGGGGAGGUUAAAAAUCAAGCAAAAGAUAAUAAUGACAAGGCUGUAUUGAGUUAUGUACAAUACAGAGAACUUGGUGCAUUAUUACCAAAGAGAUUCGAUGACUCAGUAAAUGUCAGAUGGGGAGUUGAAGUUGCAGUAGGAUCUCCUGUUGUGACUAUUUCUGUUUUAAUUCCUUCUGAUAACGGAUCAAAAUCUUUAUCAAGUACCUUGCAAUCACCUGUACAAAUACAACUAUGGAUUAGUGAAGAUGAUGGUGCAAAAAUACGAACAAAUCCACAGUGUGUUCAUUGGAGCACAGCAAGAAACGUAGGUGAAUGGAGUAGAAUUGGAUGUACAACAGAAAUUGAUGACUCCAAUUCGUAUCGUCAAAUAGUUAAUUGUUCAUGUCAAGGUGUUAUUCUUCAAGUAAAAAAUUUACAAUUAGCAACAUUUGCUGUACUAACUGACGUCCUUGAUCUUGAAUAUGUACCUGAGCCAUCACUUUUAGAGGAUGUGACAAGUUAUAGUGCAUUCAUGUUGGCGUUACCUCUCUUACUCACUGCCUUAUUAAUCUUGAGUUUAAUUCGUGGUGGCGAAACAAAUUCCAACAGUAUCCAUAAAAAUUUAAUUUCAUGUGUACUUAUAGCAGAGUUAUUAUACUUAAUUGCUCUGAAAGCACGAAGUCCACUAGUUUCAAAUGAAUUUCCAUGCAAAUUGACAGCUAUCGGAUUACAUUACGCAUGGUUGUGUGCAUUCGCUUGGACUCUUGUUGACUCAAUUCACCUUUACCGUAUGCUCACAGAAAUGAGGGACGUUAAUCAUGGGCAAAUGAGAUUUUAUUAUACCAUUGGGUAUGCAAUGCCUGCAAUAAUUGUUGGAUUAACUAUAGGUGUACGAGCGGAUCAAUAUGGAAAUUUCUACUUCUGUUGGUUAUCCAUUUAUGAAACUGUAGUCUGGGCUUUAAUUGGACCAAUAUGUGUAGUUGUAAUAACCAACUUUUGUAUUUUAAUCAUGUCAGUAAAAGCAGCAUUUACUCUUAAAGAACACAUCAUGGGUUUUGGUAACUUGAGAACGCUUUUAUGGUUAUCAGUAGCAUCAUUACCUUUAUUGGGAACAACAUGGACUUUGGCUGUUUUAAAUGCAUCUGAAAACUCGUCAAUGUUAUCUUACUUACUCUGUAUAGCAAUUGUCACCCACGCAGCUUUCAGUCUUAUCGGCUAUUGCUUUAUUAACGGAAGAGUAAGAAGAAAUUUAUACUUGAGUGUGUUAAGGUGUUUUGGAAAGAAAGGCCCAUUAUUAGAUGGUAGUAUGGGUAAUGCAAGUAGUAGUCAAAAUGUCAACGGUCAAUCAAGAUCAGCAUUAGCUUAUUCAUCAACGUAUAAUGAUAGUGGCACUGGAUGUAGACGAGUUCAUGUUGGUGUCUCUACUAGUAGUACUACGUCAAGAAGUACAAAUAAAACCGGUUCAAGCCCUUACCGUAGUGAUGGACACUUAAGACAUACAUCGACAUCCACAAGUAAUUACAACAGUGAUCGUGAUCCCUACAUGUCAUCACGAAUUCAUCAUUCCACUUUGCAUAAUCGUCAAGAUAUUAAUGAGCCUCGGGGAUCGCGGAGAGAAUCUGAAUCUGAUUCUGAUGGUUCACAAGCCGAAGGAGAUGGAGCAAGAAGCUUAGAUCUUGCUAGCUCUCACAGUUCUGAUGAUGAAGAAGUUACUUCAAGAUCGCACAAAAAUAUUGGAGUGUCAACACAACAACCAAUAUCGCACAGUUAUUUGCCAAAUAUUCAUCAAAAUCCUGCCGAUCAUUUGAAUAUUCUUUGCUCAAAUACAGAAUUAUUUCCAAAUAUUAAACCAAUUUAUGCACCGCGUUGGAGUUCACAACUACCUGAAGCUUAUUUGCCCACAAAUGUUGAUAUAAGAGGGAGUCAAUGGUCAGGUGGAACUAUCUCAGAUAAUGAAAUAGCAUCUAAUAAAACAUCAAGUCCGAAUCCGUUGCCUUAUCCAGACAUGAAUUCACCGCAAAAAAUGAUGCAAGAUGAAAAUUGUUCCGAAGGUGAAGAAAAACAUCAUCAUCUGGGAGAAAAAUAUUUGUUCCCUUAUACAGCUGAGGAAGAUCACACUGUUUCUCCAACACCAUAUAUGCUCUCAAUGUCAUCACGAAUACUUGGUUCUAGCAUGAGUCAUCACUCACAGAAUUCAAAUCAUGAUAAUCACAGUGGCUCUGAGAGAUACGGAAGUCUUAAAAGAGGUCAAACUCUUCAUGGUUCUUUACAUGAUAAUCUUAGUGGUUCAGAUAGAUACGGAAGUUUAAAGCGAGGAAAAAUAACACCAACUGUGUUAGAAGAUUCACCGGAUUAUAUUUUGCCAAUGAGUGGAAGAAUAUUAUCUAGCUCGCUGACUCAUGAUCUUCAUCACAGCAACGAAUUAACAGCAUUGAGGCAACAGCAGCAACAUUAUGAACAGACUAUCACUGAGACUGAGUGGGGUUGGAACAUUCUGAGCUAACAGUAUUUUUCUCUGAUCUCUGCUUACUUUCAAUGGUGAUGGUCUCGGUUGGAAAAUUAAAGUGAAGAGAGUGUCUAUGGUGUUGCAGGAAGGGUACUGAUGCCGAGACGCCGGUAUGAGCGAAUCAGUCGACAAGAAAAUGCGGUACAAAAUGAAUACUACCUUAAUU